GUCUUAUUGAAUAUUAAUUUUAAGUCAAAUCUGCUCAAUGAAAAUUAAAUGGCUGCAGUAUUCAUAACUGUACAAAGGUAGCAUAAUAAUUAGUUUUUUAAUUGAAAACUAGAAUGAAAGAUUAAAUGAAAAAUAAACUUUAUUGAAUUUAAUAAAUAAACUUUUUCUUUAAAUAAAAAAAUUUAAAUAAAUUUAAAAGACGAGAAGACCCUAAAGAAUUUUUAUAAUUUUUUUUAAUUUUUAAAAAAAAUUAUUUUAAUUGGGGAAAUUUAAAAAUUUAAUAAAUUUUUUUAUAAAAUAACAAAAAUUUUUGUAUAAAAAAUAUUUUUUUAAAAAAAAUAAAUAAAAUUACCUUAGGGAUAACAGCAUAAUUUUUUUUUUAAGUUCUUAUUUUUAAAAAAGUUUAU
rnacentral:rRNA from 1 species